ensembl:lncRNA
CAGGCUGUGUCAGGGAGAAAUAGCCUUGUUUCUUUACUUACUCAUGAUGUUUUGUUUUAUAUUUAAAGAACAGCAAGAAAACAUUUAAGACCUUAUUUUUUGCAUAUUGAUUUCCUGGCUAGUUUGUCUCUCCUACUGCAUUCCUAAACAUUUCAUCCUAGGGUUAAUACAAAAGGAAGGAAAAGAAUGGCAGAGGGGCCUCACCAUAUUUUCUGUGAUUUUCAACACUAGAGAUUGUUUUGUUUUUCAUGUCAACUUUCCUGGAAGGCAAAACUUGAUAGUUGUUUGUGGACAAAAAUAAAACAAAAAUAAUUUUGAAUGUCAUGAAAGAGAAUAUAGACAAAUGUCUUUUUUGCUGACAGUAUGGCAAGUGUAAGUUGAAGAAAGGUCAACGAAAAAAUGGAAGGAAACAUACUAUUUGAAAGUUGUCAAACAGUCUCAAAGACAGCCAUGUGCAUGUGCUAAGUUGCUUCAGUCAUGUCUGACUUUGUGACCCUGUGGACAGGCUCCCCUGUCCAUGGGAUUCUCCAGGCAAGAAUACCUGAGUGGGUUGCUAUUUCCUCCUCCAAUUAUCUUCCCGACCCAAGGGUUAAACCGUGGACUCUUAUGUCUCCUGGAUUGGCAGGCAAGUUCUUUACCACUGAUGUCACCUGGGAAGCCUCCACAAAGAUGGCCAGGUUCCUGAGGUUACAUUUCACUGGGACCACAGGUCAUGAGAAAUGGAGUGUUUCCUGCCAUAUCAGUAAACCAGGAUGACAAAGUCAUCAGUUUCCAGCCCUCCAGGGUGCUCAGGAAGGAGGAAUAUACCCCUGGUCUGACAGCUAUCAGAUUGGAGCCACUCCCUAAGACUUCCCUGAUGGCUCAGAUGGUAAAGGUAUCUGCCUACAAUGUAGGAGAUGCCGGUUUGAUACCUGGGAUGGGAAGAUCCCCUGGAGAAGGAAAUGGCAACCCACUCCAGUAUUCUGCUUGGAGAAUCCCAUGGACAGAGGAGCCUCGGAGGCUACAGUCCAUGAGAUCACAUAAGUCGGACACAACUGAGUGACUUCUCUCUCAUACUACUGACUCAAGGUGGGAAGGAUGCAAGUGCAGUUAUUAUUCAAAGGGACAUUGAGAAUUUUCAACUGAAGUCAAGGAACUGACAAUGUACAUUUUAGGAAAGAGUUAAUGCACCUUCAAACAGGAGCUAUUUCCGCUGAUUUCCCUUGUAUUUUCCUAGCCAGAAUGCCAUGGUCAAGGCUCAAGGGUGUUAAAGUAGGUAAAGCAAAUGAUGAACGUGCAACCUUGGCCAGAUAAGCAGCCUGGAAGCGAGAAACACAUCCUGACCUUUCUCUCCAUGCAGCUUCCUUAGGCCAAGACAUGUCCUGCCUGAAGCUGGGAGUAUUUUCCUCUCUAAAAUACAAAAGCUUAGGAAGCAGGCUUUUUCAAGUUAUUGGUGUCAGUUCUUUCCAGGAAAGGUCCUCCUUGAGCUCUUGUAACAAGGACAUUCAUUCCCAAAAAUAUUCAUCUCAAGAAAAACAAUAACCACUUAUUUAUCAGUUUCUUAAAAGCCUAGAACUUUCCCUCAAACUUGUAAGUGGUAGGUUUGCACUGUCAGGGCUUCCCUUGUGGCUCAGACAGUAAAGAAUCUGCCUCCAAUGUGGGAGACCCAGGUUUGAUCCCUGGGUGGGAAAGAUCCCCUGGAGAAGGAAAUGGCAAUCCACUCCAGUACUCUGCCUGGAGAAUCCCAUGGACAGAGGAGCCUGGUGGGCUAUGGUUCAUGCGGUGGCAAAGAGUGGGCACGACUGUGACACUAUGCUUUGCACUCUUAAGGGAAAAUCGGUGGCCAGAACCACAAACAGGAAAGAGCUGUAUGAAUGGCUGGUGCAGGGGAAGGACCAGUGAAUCUGGGGAGCAUACUGGGAAUUGCCACACUGUGAGGAAGUACUGGC